UUUCCGUAGGUGAACCUGCGGAAGGAUCAUUAACGAAACUAUUAGGAGGGCGCUUUUUAGCGACUCCGAACCUUUCAUUCCACACACCCGUGCACUGGUAGUCGGCAAAGUCUGGUUCAAUCCGGACGGCGCCUGUCUACGUUUUUAUAUGCGCCCAAUGUAAAAAGGAUGUAUUUUAUACAAAACAAAAAGAAACAAACUUUCAACAACGGAUCUCUUGGCUCUCGCAUCGAUGAAGAACGCAGC
rnacentral:misc_RNA from 1 species